UACGUAGGAGGCAAGCGUUGUCCGGAAUUACUGGGUGUAAAGAGCGUGUAGGCGGCUCGUUAAGUCUGUUGUGAAAGCGCCCGGCUCAACCGGGCAGAGUCAAUAGAAACUGGCGGGCUGGAGGUCGGUAGAGGCGAGUGGAAUUCCCGGUGUAGUGGUGAAAUGCGUAGAGAUCGGGAGGAACACCAGUGGCGAAGGCGGCUCGCUGGGCCGGACCUGACGCUGAGACGCGAAGGCGUGGGGAGCGAACGGG
rnacentral:rRNA from 1 species